ensembl:lncRNA
CGCCCGGACUAUAAAACCGCUUCCCCACCCCUCACACUUCGCAGACUCCUUUUACCCCGCUGACUCCCUUUGCUUCGCAGACCCCCCUCGCUCCCCUGCUUACCCGCCCCCAGGAGUUCUGCUCGAGAGCGGCCGCCCAAUAAAAGGCCCUGAACAACAGUCCAUAGCGAUGGUUCCUUCUUCCCGCGGCGUUUCUUACAUCUGGCACCCAACGUGGGGCUCGAGGUGAGGGCUUCUGGCACUCGCCGUUGAGGCCCCCUCGAGCUCCACCGCCGCGGUAGCACCCGGACCAACCCCCCAGAUGGCAGGAUACGGGAUCUCUCAGCAGGUGGCUGCGGCCCUAGGUAUCGGCUGGCAUCUUCACAUCCCCUAUCGGCCCCAGUCGUCAGGCAAGGUAGAGCGGGUGAACGGCAUCAUCAAGACACAUCUGACCAAGACAGCCACAGUUCUGAGGCAAGCCUAUCUUGGGUCGACCUCCUUCCUCUGGCGCUCACUCGCAUUCGCACCACACCACACUCCAAAACAGAGGCUCGACACGGUCCAGCUGAUGGUGAUGCGACAACAGUACCAAGGGCUUCCAACAAGUACUCCGUGGCAAGAUUAACGGCAGACGCCCCCUGUCAUCCCAACUGUACCCUACCCCAUCCCAGCCGUACCUUACCCCUCGUCACCCCCGUUCAGCAGGAAGUAGCCAGAUAGAGUAGGCGCCCCUUGUCCUAUAUCAAAAAGGCCGGGAUGAAAGGUCAGGGCGAGGUCAGGAUGAAGGGUCAGGGCAAGGCCAGGAAGAAAGGUCAGGGCAAGGCCAGGAAGAAAGGUCAGGGCGAGGUCAGGAAGAAAGGUUAGGGCGAGGUCAGGCACACCUGGGCAUGCCCAGGCAUGUUGGGACAUGCCCCAGCAGAGGGCGCUGCAGACACACCCCAGAGACGGGCCGGCAACCAAGCCGACCAAUCAGGAGCCAACACGAAGCCCUCGCCGUCCAAUCAGGAGCUGACACGGAGCCCUUGGACACCAAUCACCGCUGAGCCCGCGUUUUCUUCCUUAUAUGGGAGCCCCGGCCUGGACUAUAAAACCCCUUCCCCACCCCUCACACUUCGCAGACUCCAUUUACCCCGCAGACUCCUUUUACCCCGCUGACUCCCUUUGCUUCGCAGACCCCCUUCGCUCCCCUGCUUACCCGCCCCUGGGAGUUCUGCCUGAGAGCGAACGCCCAAUAAAAGGCCCUGAACAACGGUCCAUAGGGGUGGUUCCUUCUUCC